rnacentral:pre_miRNA from 1 species
CAACUACUCCCUCUGUCCCAAAUUUCUUGUCUUAGAUUUGUCUAGAUAAGGAUGUAUCUAAUACUAAAAUGUGACUUGAUACAUCUGUAUCUAGACAAAUCUAAGACAAGAAUUUUGGGACGGAGGGAGUACUUU